GAAAACAAGAGAAUUCCUCACAGCAACAGGCACACCGGUCAAACACAGCACGGCUAUCAAGGACCUGAUGAAUGCCCUACUCCUCCCUGAAGAAGUGGCCAUACUGAAGGUAAAAGCCCACGGGAGACUGAAUUCGGAUGAAGCAUGAGGCAACCAUCUGGCUGAUCAAGCCGCACGUGAACCACGGGAAGUGGACAGGAGAGUGUCCACAGGAGAAAACCCCAUAGAAUGCGCCUAAGUCAAGGUUAUUAUGCCACUACAUAUUGUAUCUGAC